CGUCCGCGCCCGUGCGGGGGUCCCGGCGGGGCGUGCGCGUCCGGCGCCGUCCGUCCGUCCGUUCGUCUUCCUGCCUCCUCCCGUCCUCUCCCGCCGACCACGGGCGGUGGUGGGGGGGGGGGCGCGCGUCCCCGGUCGGCGCGCCCCGCUUCUCCGGUUCCCCCCUCCUCCCCGUUCACCGCCGGGGCGGCUCGUCCGCUCCGGGCCGGGACGGGGCCCGGGGAGCGCGGGUGGGAACCGCGGAGGCGGCCGAGCCGGGCCCCGUGGCCCGCCGGCCCCCCGUCCCGGGGGGUGGCCGCGCG
rnacentral:misc_RNA from 1 species